rnacentral:rRNA from 1 species
AUUGAACGCUGGCGGCAGGCUUAACACAUGCAAGUCGAGCGAGCGGCGGACGGGUGAGUAAUGUCUGGGAAACUGCCUGCUGGAUGGGGAUAACUACUGGAAACGGUAGCUAAUACCGCAUACCAUCAGAUUGGCCCAGAUGGGAUUAGCUAGUAGGUGGGGUAACGGCUCACCUAGGCGACGAUCCCUAGCUGGUCUGAGAGGAUGACCAGCCACACUGGAAAUGAGACACGGUCCAGACUCCUACGGGAGGCAGCAGUGGGGAAUAUUGCACAAUGGGCGCAAGCCUGAGGCAGCCAUGCCGCGUGUAUGAAGAAGGCCUUCGGGUUGUAAAGUACUUUCAGCGAGGAGGCGUUACUCGCAGAAGAAGCACCGGCUAACUCCGUGCCAGCAGCCGCGGUAAUUC